CAGUCGAACGGAUCCUUCGGGAUUAGUGGCAGACGGGUGAGUAACGCGUGGGAAGCUACCUUGUGGUAGGGGACAACAGUUGGAAACGACUGCUAAUACCCUAUGAGCCCUAUGGGGGAAAGAUUUAUCGCCAUGAGAUGUGCCCGCGUUAGAUUAGCUAGUUGGUAAGGUAAUGGCUUACCAAGGCGACGAUCUAUAGCUGGUCUGAGAGGAUGAUCAGCCACACUGGGACUGAGACACGGCCCAGACUCCUACGGGAGGCAGCAGUGGGGAAUAUUGGACAAUGGGGGCAACCCUGAUCCAGCCAUGCCGCGUGUGUGAUGACGGCCUUAGGGUUGUAAAGCACUUUCAGCAGUGAAGAUAAUGACAUUAACUGCAGAAGAAGCCCCGGCUAACUUCGUGCCAGCAGCCGCGGUAAUACGAAGGGGGCUAGCGUUGUUCGGAAUCACUGGGCGUAAAGAGUACGUAGGCGGACUGAUAAGUUAGGGGUGAAAUCCCAAGGCUCAACCUUGGAACUGCCUUUGAUACUGUCAGUCUUGAGAUCGAGAGAGGUGAGUGGAACUCCGAGUGUAGAGGUGAAAUUCGUAGAUAUUCGGAAGAACACCAGUGGCGAAGGCGGCUCACUGGCUCGAUACUGACGCUGAGGUA
rnacentral:rRNA from 1 species